rnacentral:rRNA from 1 species
GAGGGAAAGGCGAAAAGAACCCCGGCGAGGGGAGUGAAAAAGAACCUGAAACCGUGUACGUACAAGCAGUAGGAGCCUCUUUAUGGGGUGACUGCGUACCUUUUGUAUAAUGGGUCAGCGACUUAUAUUCUGUAGCAAGGUUAACCGUAUAGGGGAGCCGUAGGGAAACCGAGUCUUAACUGGGCGAAUGAGUUGCAGGGUAUAGACCCGAAACCCGGUGAUCUAUCCAUGGGCAGGUUGAAGGUUGGGUAACACUAACUGGAGGACCGAACCGACUAAUGUUGAAAAAUUAGCGGAUGACUUGUGGAUGGGGGUGAAAGGCCAAUCAAACCGGGAGAUAGCUGGUUCUCCCCGAAAGCUAUUUAGGUAGCGCCUCGUGAAUUCAUCUUCGGGGGUAGAGCACUGUUUCGACUAGGGGGUCAUCCCGACUUACCAACUCGAUGCAAACUGCGAAUACCGAAGAAUGUUAUCACGGGAGACACACGGCGGGUGCUAACGUCCGUCGUGAAGAGGGAAACAACCCAGACCGCCAGCUAAGGUCCCAAAGUCAUGGUUAAGUGGGAAACGAAGUGGGAAGGCUCAGACAGCCAGGAUGUUGGCUUAGAAGCAGCCAUCAUUUAAAGAAAGCGUAAUAGCUCACUGGUCGAGUCGGCCCGCGCGGAAGAUGUAACGGGGCUAAACCAUGCACCGAAGCUGCGGCAGCGACACAAAGUGUUGUUGGGUAGGGGAGCGUUCUGUAAGCCUGCGAAGGUGUACUGUGAGGUAUGCUGGAGGUAUCAGAAGUGCGAAUGCU